rnacentral:rRNA from 1 species
UACGUAGGGUGCAAGCGUUGUCCGGAUUUAUUGGGCGUAAAGAGCUCGUAGGCGGCUUGGCAAGUCAGGUGUGAAAACUUCAGGCUCAACCUGGAGAUGCCACCUGAGACUGCUAUGGCUUGAGUCCGGUAGGGGACCACGGAAUUCCUGGUGUAGCGGUGAAAUGCGCAGAUAUCAGGAAGAACACCCGUGGCGAAAGCGGCUCUCUGGAACGGUACUGACGCUGAGACGCGAAAGCGUGGGGAGCGAACAGG